AUUGAACGCUGGCGGCAGGCCUAACACAUGAAAGUCGAAAGAGUGGCGGACGGGUGAGUAAUGUCUGGGAAACUGCCUGAUGGAGGGGGAUAACUACUGGAAACGGUAGCUAAUACCGCAUACCAUCGGAUGUGCCCAGAUGGGAUUAGCUAGUAGGUGGGGUAAAGGCUCACCUAGGUGGCGAUCCCUAGCUGGUCUGGGAGGAUGAACAGCCACACUGGAACGGAGACACGGUCAAGACUCCUACGGGAGGCAGAAGUGGGGAAUAUUGCACAAUGGGCGCAAUCCGGAUGCAGCCAUGCCGCGUGUAUGAAGAAUGCCUUCGGGUUGUAAAGUACUUUCAGCGGGGAGGCGUUACCCGCAGAAGAAGCACCGGCUAACUCCGUGCCAGCAGCCGCGGUAAUAC
rnacentral:rRNA from 1 species